GCCGCGCGGACGCGUACCCCCUCUACCACAAAUUAUGACGUCCACUCUCCCAUUUGGGGAGAUGGUAAGCCAGCACACCCACCAAGUGCAAUGUGGACCACUAGCCUAGGCCACGACUCUUCUUGA
rnacentral:rRNA from 1 species